GCGAAUCUUGAGGAGCUUGCUCCUUAAUUGUUAGCGGCGGACGGGUGAGUAACACGUGGGCAACCUGCCUGUAAGACUGGGAUAACACCGGGAAACCGGUGCUAAUACCGGAUAAUUCUUCACCUCUCAUGAGGUGAAGCUGAAAGUCGGUUUCGGCUGACACUUACAGAUGGGCCCGCGGCGCAUUAGCUAGUUGGUGAGGUAACGGCUCACCAAGGCGACGAUGCGUAGCCGACCUGAGAGGGUGAUCGGCCACACUGGGACUGAGACACGGCCCAGACUCCUACGGGAGGCAGCAGUAGGGAAUCUUCCGCAAUGGACGAAAGUCUGACGGAGCAACGCCGCGUGAGUGAUGAAGGCCUUCGGGUCGUAAAACUCUGUAGUUAGGGAAGAACAAGUACCGGAGUAACUGCCGGUACCUUGACGGUACCUAACCAGAAAGCCACGGCUAACU
rnacentral:rRNA from 1 species